rnacentral:rRNA from 1 species
AUUGAACGCCGGCGGCAGGCCUAACACAUGCAAGUCGAGCGGAGCGGCGGACGGGUGAGUAAUGCCUAGGAAUCUGCCUGGUAGUGGGGGAUAACGUCCGGAAACGGGCGCUAAUACCGCAUACUAUCAGAUGAGCCUAGGUCGGGUUAGCUAGUUGGUGGGGUAAAGGCCUACCAAGGCGACGAUCCGUAACUGGUCUGAGAGGAUGAUCAGUCACACUGGAACUGAGAAACGGUCCAGGCUCCUACGGGAGGCAGCAGUGGGGAAUAUUGGACAAUGGGCGAAAACCUGAUCCAGCCAGGCCGCGUGUGUGAAGAAAGCCUUCGGGUUGUAAAGCACUUUCAGCGGAGAGGCGUUGCCCGCAGGAGAAGCACCGGCUAACUCCGUGCCAGCAGCCGCGGUAAUUC